UACGUAGGGUGCGAGCGUUGUCCGGAAUUACUGGGCGUAAAGAGCUCGUAGGUGGUUUGUCGCGUUGUUCGUGAAAUCUCACGGCUUAACUGUGAGCGUGCGGGCGAUACGGGGCAGACUGGAGUACUGCAGGGGAGACUGGAAUUCCUGGUGUAGCGGUGGAAUGCGCAGAUAUCAGGAGGAACACCGGUGGCGAAGGCGGGUCUCUGGGCCGAUACUGACGCUGAGGAGCGAAAGCGUGGGGAGCGAACAGG
rnacentral:rRNA from 1 species